rnacentral:rRNA from 1 species
CAGCCGCCACGGGAAUACGUAGGGUGCAAGCGUUAAUCGGAAUUACUGGGCGUAAAGCGUGCGCAGGCGGUUUUGUAAGACAGAGGUGAAAUCCCCGGGCUCAACCUGGGAACUGCCUUUGUGACUGCAAGGCUAGAGUACGGCAGAGGGGGAUGGAAUUCCGCGUGUAGCAGUGAAAUGCGUAGAUAUGCGGAGGAACACCGAUGGCGAAGGCAAUCCCCUGGGCCUGUACUGACGCUCAUGCACGAAAGCGUGGGGAGCAAACAGGAUUAGAUACCCGGGUAGUCCCUGUCUCUUAUAC